UGCCAGCCGCCGCGGUAACACGGGGGGCGCAAGCGUUAUUCGGAAUUAUUGGGCGUAAAGGGCGCGCAGGCGGUCUUGUCCGUCAGGUGUGAAAGCCCGGGGCUCAACCCCGGAAGUGCAUUGGAUACUGGCAGUCUUGAGUAUGGGAGAGGAAAGUGGAAUUCCGAGUGUAGGAGUGAAAUCCGUAGAUAUUCGGAGGAACACCAGUGGCGAAGGCGGCUCCCUGGCCAAAGACUGACGCUCAUGUGCGAAAGUGUGGGUAGCGAACAGGAUUAGAUA
rnacentral:rRNA from 1 species